rnacentral:rRNA from 1 species
UACGGGGGGGGUAAGCGUUGUUCGGAAUUACUGGGCGUAAAGGGCUCGUAGGCGGCCAACUAAGUCAGACGUGAAAUCCCUCAGCUUAACUGGGGAACUGCGUCUGAUACUGGAUGGCUUGGAUCCGGGAGAGGGAUGCGGAAUUCCAGGUGUAGCGGUGAAAUGCGUAGAUAUCUGGAGGAACACCGGUGGCGAAGGCGGCAUCCUGGACCGGUAUUGACGCUGAGACGCGAAAGCGUGGGGAGCAAACAGG